GACGAACGCUGGCGGCGUGCUUAACACAUGCAAGUCGAACGAUGAACCCGGAGCUUGCUCGGGUGGAAUAGUUGCGAACGGGUGAGUUACACAUGAGUAACCUGCCCUUGACCCCGGGACAACUGCGGGAAACUGCAGUUAAUAUCGGGUACGACACUCGGCCGCAUCGGCAGGGGGUGUACAGCACUUCGGUCAAGGAUGGACUCGCGGCCUAUCAGCUAGUUGGUGAGGUAACGGCUCACCAAGGCGACGACGGGUAGCCGGCCUGAGAGGGUGGCCGGCCACACGGGGACUGAGACACGGGCCAGACUCCUACGGGAGGCAGCAGUGGGGAAUAUUGCACAAGGGGCGCAAGCCUGAUGCAGCAACGCCGCGUGAGGGAUGACGGCCUUCGGGUUGUAAGCCUCUUUUAGUAGGGAAGAAGCGAAAGUGACGGUACCUGCAGAAAAAGCACCGGCUAACUACGUGCCAGCCGCCGCCGUAA
rnacentral:rRNA from 1 species